GUCUAUGGCCAUGCCACCCUGAACAAGCCUGAUCCCGUCUGAUCUCGGAAGCUAAGCAGGGUCUGGUUAGUAUUUGGAUGGGAGACCACCUAGGAAGACCAGGUGCUGUAGGCG
rnacentral:rRNA from 1 species